GACGUAGGGGGCGAGCGUUGUCCGGAAUUACUGGGCGUAAAGCGCGUGCAGGCGGCUUUGUAAGUCCCGUGUGAAAGCCUACGGCUCAACUGUAGGAGGCCGCGGGAUACUGCGAGGCUAGAGGGCAGGAGAGGGAAGUAGAAUUCCCGGUGUAGCGGUGAAAUGCGUAGAUAUCGGGAGGAAUGCCAGUGGCGAAGGCGGCUUCCUGGCCUGCCCCUGACGCUGAGACGCGAAAGCUGGGGGAGCGAACGGG
rnacentral:rRNA from 1 species